GUGCUUGCUUCAGCAGCACAUGUACUAAAAUUGGAACGGUACAGAGAAGAUUAGCGCAUGGCCCCUGCGCAAGGAUGACGCGCAGAUUCUGAAGUGUACCAUAUUUUU
ensembl:snRNA LOC120102575 U6 spliceosomal RNA